CUUUAGAGCAAGUACAAUAAUCCAUCUCAGCUUGGCUUGUAGCCAAGACACAUCAGCAGAAGUCUAGGUGGCGGAGAGAGAAACGAGGUGAGAGAAGGGACUAGGCGCCAGAUCCGUCGCCGGUCGCGUCCCGUUGUCCAAGGAACGGCUGCGUUGGUUUGGGUGCUGAUGGGUCCCACAGAA